rnacentral:rRNA from 1 species
UACGUAGGGACCAAGCGUUGUUCGGAUUUACUGGGCGUAAAGGGCUCGUAGGCGGCCAACUAAGUCACACGUGAAAUCCCCAGGCUUAACCUGGGAACUGCGUGUGAUACUGGAUGGCUUGGAUUUGGGAGAGGGAUGCGGAAUUCCAGGUGUAGCGGUGAAAUGCGUAGAUAUCUGGAGGAACACCGGUGGCGAAGGCGGCAUCCUGGACCAAUAUUGACGCUGAGGAGCGAAAGCCAGGGGAGCAAACGGG